GCUUCUCCUCUGGCAUUUCUCUUUCCCAGGAAUGAAAUAAAAGGAAAAGUGGAUUCAGAUAAAGAAGAGAGCUCAUCCCUUUUGCCAUUUAAGAAAUGGCCUAUUGUCCAGCCCCGUGUGAGUCUUCGAGUCUUGGCAAAGGAAGAAGCCAAGAGAACCUUUACUGUAUGGAAGGUGAACGUUCUUGGCUGUGAUGGAAGUAACUCGGCACCUACAUGCGGCUCAUUCUUUCCACCUCAUACACUGAAAAGACUUCCCAGGAAGAGCUGCCAAGACAUCCAAGGUCCGUGUGGCCUCCGUGAGCAACACUCAAGACACUUUGUGGAAGGCAUUCUUGGCCUUCAUGUAGCACUCUCAAAAGAUAAGAUAUAUUCUAUCCCUCUUCCCACCCUCACACCCCCUAUCCUCCAUUGCCAGUUUUCUUUAUUGACCUAUUAAAUAGUCACCAUCUGUCUAAAAGUGUCUUGAAGAUGUCCUUUUUGCAUUUUAUGCCUUGCUACUCAAAGUGUGGUCUGUGGACCAAAAGCAGCAUCAGUGUCACUGGGAACUUGUAAGAAAUUCAGUUCUUGGGCCUCACACCAGGGCUACUCAACCAGAAUCCACGUUUUAAUAAAAUUCUCAAGUGAUUUGUAUGCA
rnacentral:lncRNA from 1 species